rnacentral:rRNA from 1 species
AUUGAACGCUGGCGGCAGGCCUAACACAUGCAAGUCGAACGGUAACAGGAAACAGCUUGCUGUUUCGCUGACGAGUGGCGGACGGGUGAGUAAUGUCUGGGAAACUGCCUGAUGGAGGGGGAUAACUACUGGAAACGGUAGCUAAUACCGCAUAACGUCGCAAGACCAAAGAGGGGGACCUUCGGGCCUCUUGCCAUCGGAUGUGCCCAGAUGGGAUUAGCUAGUAGGUGGGGUAACGGCUCACCUAGGCGACGAUCCCUAGCUGGUCUGAGAGGAUGACCAGCCACACUGGAACUGAGACACGGUCCAGACUCCUACGGGAGGCAGCAGUGGGGAAUAUUGCACAAUGGGCGCAAGCCUGAUGCAGCCAUGCCGCGUGUAUGAAGAAGGCCUUCGGGUUGUAAAGUACUUUCAGCGGGGAGGAAGGGAGUAAAGUUAAUACCUUUGCUCAUUGGCGUUACCCGCAGAAGAAGCACCGGCUAACUCCGUG